rnacentral:rRNA from 1 species
UACAGAGGUCUCAAGCGUUGUUCGGAUUCAUUGGGCGUAAAGGGCGCGUAGGCGGCGGGGUAAGUCGGGUGUGAAAUCUCAGAGCUCAACUCUGAAAUGGCACUUGAUACUGCUCUGCUAGAGGACUGGAGAGGAGAUUGGAAUUCACGGUGUAGCAGUGAAAUGCGUAGAUAUCGUGAGGAAGACCGGUGGCGAAGGCGGAUCUCUGGGACGGUACUGACGCUGGAGACGCGAAAGCGUGGGGAGCGAACAGG